rnacentral:rRNA from 1 species
UCGACUUGGAGGUUGUGCCCUUGAGGCGUGGCUUCCGGAGCUAACGCGUUAAGUCGACCGCCUGGGGAGUACGGCCGCAAGGUUAAAACUCAAAUGAAUUGACGGGGGCCCGCACAAGCGGUGGAGCAUGUGGUUUAAUUCGAUGCAACGCGAAGAACCUUACCUGGUCUUGACAUCCACAGAACUUUCCAGAGAUGGAUUGGUGCCUUCGGGAACUGUGAGACAGGUGCUGCAUGGCUGUCGUCAGCUCGUGUUGUGAAAUGUUGGGUUAAGUCCCGCAACGAGCGCAACCCUUAUCCUUUGUUGCCAGCGGUCCGGCCGGGAACUCAAAGGAGACUGCCAGUGAUAAACUGGAGGAAGGUGGGGAUGACGUCAAGUCAUCAUGGCCCUUACGACCAGGGCUACACACGUGCUACAAUGGCGCAUACAAAGAGAAGCAAUCUCGCGAGAGCUAGCGGACCUCAUAAAGUGCGUCGUA